rnacentral:rRNA from 1 species
UACGUAGGGGGCAAGCGUUGUCCGGAUUGAUUGGGCGUAAAGAGCGUGUAGGCGGCCAAGCAGGUCAGCUGUGAAAACUCGAGGCUCAACCUCGAGACGUCGGUUGAAACCGCUUGGCUAGAGUCCGGAAGAGGAGAGUGGAAUUCCCGGUGUAGCGGUGAAAUGCGCAGAUAUCGGGAAGAACACCCGUGGCGAAGCCGGCUCUCUGGGACGGUACUGACGCUGAGACGCGAAAGCGUGGGGAGCGAACCGG